rnacentral:rRNA from 1 species
CGAAGCCGCGGCAGCGAUAUGUAAAUAUUGUUGGGUAGGGGAGCGUUCUGUAAGCCUGUGAAGGUGACCUGUGAGGGUUGCUGGAGGUAUCAGAAGUGCGAAUGCUGACAUAAGUAACGAUAAUGCGGGUGAAAAACCCGCACGCCGGAAGACCAAGGGUUCCUGUCCAACGUUAAUCGGGGCAGGGUGAGUCGACCCCUAAGGCGAGGCUGAAAAGCGUAGUCGAUGGGCAACGGGUUAAUAUUCCCGUACUGGUGGUAACUGCGAAGGGGGGACGGAGAAAGCUAAAUCAUCCGGGCGACGGUUGUCCCGGUUUAAGCGUGCAGGUGGACUGACCAGGCAAAUCCGGUCGGUUGUUAACACUGAGGCGUGACGACGAGCCACUACGGUGGUGAAGUGAUUGAUGCUCUGCUUCCGGGAAAAGCCUCUAAGCUCCAGGUUAUCAUUAAUCGUACCCCAAACCGACACAGGUGGUCAGGUAGAGAAUACU